UUUUUUUUUUUUUUUUUUUUUUUUUUUUUUUUUUUUUUUUUUUUUUACAAUGUACCACCAACGAAGGAGUGUCAGAGACG
rnacentral:ribozyme from 13 species